rnacentral:rRNA from 1 species
ACGUAGGGGGCUAGCGUUGUCCGGAUUUAUUGGGCGUAAAGAGCGUGUAGGCGGCCUGGUAGGUCUGCUGUGAAAACUCGAGGCUCAACCUCGAGAUGUCGGCGGAAACCAUCUGGCUAGAGUCCGGAAGAGGAGAGUGGAAUUCCUGGUGUAGCAGUGAAAUGCGUAGAGAUCGGGAGGAACAUCCGUGGCGAAGGCGACUACCUGGACCAGCACUGACACUGAGGCACGAAAGCGUGGGGAGCAAACAGGA